rnacentral:rRNA from 1 species
GAUGAACGCUGGCGGCGUGCCUAAUACAUGCAAGUCGAGCGAACAGACGAGGAGCUUGCUCCUCUGACGUUAGCGGCGGACGGGUGAGUAACACGUGGAUAACCUACCUAUAAGGCUGGGAUAACUUCGGAAAACCGGAGCUAAUACCGGAUAAUAUAUUGAACCGCGGGGUUCAAUGGUGAAAGACGGUGUUGCUGUCACUUAUAGAUGGAUCCCGGCCGGAUGGGCUGGUUGGGAAGGUAAAGGGUUACCAAGGGGACGAGGCGUGAGCGACCGGAGAGGGUGGUCGGCGACCCGGGAGCUGGGACACGGUCCAGACUACUACGGGACGCAGCAGUAGGGAACCUGACGCAGUGGGCGAGAGCCUGACGGAGCAAGGCGGCGUGAGUGAUGAAGGUCUUCGGAGCGUAAAACUCUGUUAUGAGGGAAGAACAAAUGUGUAAGUAACUAUGCACGGCUUGACGGUACCUAAUCAGAAAGCCACGGCUAACUACGUG